AAUCAACGCUGGCGGCGUGCCUCAGACAUGCAAGUCGAACGAUUAAAGCUCUCUUCGGAGAGUGUAUAGAGUGGCGCACGGGUGAGUAACACGUAAGUAAUCUACCUUUGAGUGGGGAAUAACAGUCGGAAACGGCUGCUAAUACCGCAUAAUGCAGCGGCAUCGCAAGAUGACAGUUGUUAAAGGAGCAAUCCGCUUAAAGAGGAGCUUGCGGCAGAUUAGCUUGUUGGUAAGGUAACGGCUUACCAAGGCUACGAUCUGUAUCUGGUCUAAGAGGACGGUCGGACACACUGACACUGAAUAACGGGUCAGACUCCUACGGGAGGCAGCAGUCGGGAAUUUUGGGCAAUGGGCGAAAGCCUGACCCAGCAACGCCGCGUGAAGGAUGAAGUAUUUUCGGUAUGUAAACUUCGAAAGAAUAGGAAGAAUAAAUGACGGUACUAUUUAUAAGCUCCGGCUAACUACGUGCCAAGCGAGCCGCCGCGGUAACAGAACUGCAA
rnacentral:rRNA from 1 species